rnacentral:rRNA from 1 species
UACGAAGGGGGCUAGCGUUGCUCGGAAUCACUGGGCGUAAAGCGCACGUAGGCGGAUUGCUAAGUCAGGGGUGAAAUCCUGGAGCUCAACUCCAGAACUGCCUUUGAUACUGGCGACCUUGAGUCCGGGAGAGGUGAGUGGAACUGCGAGUGUAGAGGUGAAAUUCGUAGAUAUUCGCAAGAACACCGGUGGCGAAGGCGGCAUCCUGGACCGGCAUUGACGCUGAGGCGCGAAAGCCAGGGGAGCAAACGGG